rnacentral:rRNA from 1 species
UACGUAGGUGGCAAGCGUUGUUCGGAAUUACUGGGCGUAAAGCGCACGUAGGCGGCUUUGUAAGUUAGAGGUGAAAGCCCGGGGCUCAACCCCGGAAUUGCCUUUAAGACUGCAUCGCUUGAAUCCGGGAGAGGUGAGUGGAAUUCCGAGUGUAGAGGUGAAAUUCGUAGAUAUUCGGAAGAACACCAGUGGCGAAGGCGGCUCACUGGACCGGUAUUGACGCUGAGGUGCGAAAGCGUGGGGAGCAAACAGG